AUGAAUUUAUUACAUUUAUAGUUGUAUAAUGAUCAUCCCAAUCCAAUUUUAUAAGAUUUCCAUCCCACAACCCCAGCGCAUCCCCCUACCCUCUGAACUGUCUCCUUUGCAACCAUAUGUUUUUCAAAGUCUGUGAGUUAGUAUCUUUUCUGCAAAGAAGUUCAUUCUGUCCUUUUUUCAGAUUCCACAUGUCAGUGAAAGCAUUUGAUCUUGGUGUCUCAUUGUCUGACUGACUUCACUUAGCAUGAUAAUUUCUAGGUCCAUCCAUGUUGCCAAAAAUGCCGGUAUUUCGUUCCUUUUAAUGGCUGAACUCGUUUAAGCCCCUUGUUUUUAAUCCAGGUCCACACCCUGCCUGGAAUCUUCAUGUCCCAAGCCUCUCCAGCUUCAAUUCUCCUUUAAAAGAAGCUUCUUAGGGUGGGAGGGUAGCCUCCUGGCUGUAGGGGGUAGGAUAAGCUACUUAAAGGGUCACCUCUUGAUUCAGAUUUAUAAGCAGCCUCCUGUGUUUCAGCCUCACCCCUCACCCUCACCUCCUGCAGUUACUGUGCCCUCAGAUACUGAGUCUCACAGGGGUCUGUAGAGAGACCCUCCAUCCCUCCCCAGUAGGCACCUCCCUUGGGAUCCUUCUUCCUUGCUAAAUUAAUUACAUAUGCCCCAUCCCACCCCUGCUUUCCAUCUUCCACAGUUCUGCUUAUAUCUCUUGUCUGCUGUUAUUUAUUUUCCUGUCCUUUCUGUCCUUAUAAGUCAAUAUAAUUUUUUUAAUCGCUUCGGUGUUAUUUUCAAGAGGCUUAUAAAGAGAGAGAAUGGAGAUAUCUAUGUAUUUUGAAUGAAUGAAUGGUUAAUGCUACAUUUUAACUGAAGUUGCAAUUGACUUUAAAACAGGAAAGCUGGAGUUUAUCAUUUUCUGCUCUUUGUUGUGAAUUCACGUUCUGGGGUAUUACCUGUUAGCAAUGCUUUGUCCCUCAGUCAACGGCUGCUUCCCUGAGCUGAGCCUAUAGGCUUCUAAACGUGUGUGUUGGUGACAAGAGGCCCAGUCUAGAGACUGUGGUUUGCACCAUGUAACCCACCCCCAUUGCAACACCCCAACUUCUACAAAAGUCCAAUUGAAGUCAGUUUGGAAUGCAAAAUAUGUUUUUCUAUAGGAACUGUAUAAUAAGGAAAUAUUUUAGUUCCCAGGCCAGCUUUCAAGAGUCUUUUUUAAAGCUCAUAGGUAUGCAUAUUCUCUAUUUAUUAAUGUACCCACACCCCAAAUUUGUUCACAUCAGUUAUGUGUGAUUUGAGCACUGUAUUAUUAUCAUAAGAUCCUAUCAAACACAAUCUUUUAAAGACAUCAUUGCUCAAUUUAUAGCUUCCAUUAUUUUUAACUUCUAAGUGGUCCUCUCUUUUCCAAACAUACCCCUCUUUUCUCCUCCCUCAACUCACUCACUUCACCUUAAGAGAGAAAAGCAAAGCCUAUGUCAGAGUCAGUGCAAAUGUUCACUUGUCAGAGACAAGAAGCCCCCAGUGAUGCUCGCUGCUCCUAGAGGGCUCCUCUGCCCAGUGAAGGGCCCUUCUGGAAAGUCACUCAUCAUGCUUUCUCCAGGGCAUUGCGGUGACUUGGGUGAAGCUGGGAAUUAGCUCUUCAUCAACUGUCUUUGGAGUUCUAAGUCUAUAGCACGGACAUGAACAAAAAGCCACUUUUUUAAGGCUUAUUACCAAUAAUUAUUGGUUAUUUUUUACCUUCCCCUAAAAUUCAAAGAUGAUUGGAUCAUGUUACCAAUGCAGUACUUCAUGAGUUUAUAUUCUUGUACACUGAUUCAGUCUUGGCUUGCAGAGAGCAACGCUCUCACUCAGGAGGAGGGGGACAACUACAUUGCAGAGGACAUUUGAAACUCUCACCAAACUAAGUUCUUUGGCACUUUCUCCAAGGUUAUUCUGGGCAGAAGUAUCAUCCAAGAUAGAAAACU
ensembl:lncRNA